rnacentral:rRNA from 1 species
GGCGGCCGUAACUAUAACGGUCCUAAGGUAGCGAAAUUCCUUGUCGGGUAAGUUCCGACCUGCACGAAUGGCGUAAUGAUGGCCAGGCUGUCUCCACCCGAGACUCAGUGAAAUUGAACUCGCUGUGAAGAUGCAGUGUACCCGCGGCAAGACGGAAAGACCCCGUGAACCUUUACUAUAGCUUGACACUGAACAUUGAGCCUUGAUGUGUAGGAUAGGUGGGAGGCUUUGAAGUGUGGACGCCAGUCUGCAUGGAGCCGACCUUGAAAUACCACCCUUUAAUGUUUGAUGUUCUAACGUUGACCCGUAAUCCGGGUUGCGGACAGUGUCUGGUGGGUAGUUUGACUGGGGCGGUCUCCUCCUAAAGAGUAACGGAGGAGCACGAAGGUUGGCUAAUCCUGGUCGGACAUCAGGAGGUUAGUGCAAUGGCAUAAGCCAGCUUGACUGCGAGCGUGACGGCGCGAGCAGGUGCGAAAGCAGGUCAUAGUGAUCCGGUGGUUCUGAAUGGAAGGGCCAUCGCUCAACGGAUAAAAGGUACUCCGGGGAUAACAGGCUGAUACCGCCCAAGAGUUCAUAUCGACGGCGGUGUUUGGCACCUCGAUGUCGGCUCAUCACAUCCUGGGGCUGAAGUAGGUCCCAAGGGUAUGGCUGUUCGCCAUUUAAAGUGGUACGCGAGCUGGGUUUAGAACGUCGUGAGACAGUUCGGUCCCUAUCUGCCGUGGGCGCUGGAGAACUGAGGGGGGCUGCUCCUAGUACGAGAGGACCGGAGUGGACGCAUCACUGGUGUUCGGGUUGUCAUGCCAAUGGCACUGCCCGGUAGCUAAAUGCGGAAGAGAUAAGUGCUGAAAGCAUCUAAGCACGAAACUUGCCCCGAGAUGAGUUCUCCCUGACUCCUUGAGAGUCCUGAAGGAACGUUGAAGACGACGACGUUGAUAGGCCGGGUGUGUAAGCGCAGCGAUGCGUUGAGCUAACCGGUACUAAUGAACCGUGAGGCUUAACCUU